rnacentral:rRNA from 1 species
GACGUAGGGCGCGAGCGUUGUCCGGAUUUAUUGGGCGUAAAGAGCUCGUAGGCGGCUUGUCGCGUCGACUGUGAAAUCCCGCGGCUCAACUGCGGGUCUGCAGUCGAUACGGGCAGGCUAGAGUUCGGUAGGGGAGACGUGGAAUUCCUGGUGUAGCGGUGAAAUGACGCAGAGUAUCAGGAGGAACACCGGUGGCGAAGGCGGGUCUCUGGGCCGAUACUGACGCUGAGGAGCGAAAGCGUGGGGAGCGAACAGG